rnacentral:rRNA from 1 species
AUUGAACGCUGGCGGCAGGCUUAACACAUGCAAGUCGAGCGAGCGGCGGACGGGUGAGUAAUGUCUGGGACACUGCCUGAUGGAGGGGGAUAACUACUGGAAACGGUAGCUAAUACCGCAUACCAUCAGAUGUGCCCAGAUGGGAUUAGCUGGUAGGUGGGGUAAUGGCUCACCUCGGCGACGAUCCCUAGCUGGUCUGAUAGGAUGCCCAGCCACACUGGAACUGAGACACGGUCCAGACUCCUACGGGAGUCAGCAGUGGGGAAUAUUGCACAAUGGGCGCAAGCCUGAUGCAGCCAUGCCGCGUGUAUGAAGAAGGCCCUAGGGUGGUAAAGUACUUUCAGUCGGGAGGCGUUACCGGCAGAAGAAGCACCGGCUAACUCCGUGCCAGCAGCCGCGGUAAUAC